GACGAACGCUGGCGGCGUGCUUAACACAUGCAAGUCGAACGGUAAGGCCCUUCGGGGUACACGAGUGGCGAACGGGUGAGUAACACGUGGGUGAUCUACCCUGCACUUCGGGAUAAGCCUGGGAAACUGGGUCUAAUACCGGAUAGGACCACUGCCUGCAUGGGUGGUGGUGGAAAGCUUUUGCGGUGUGGGAUGGGCCCGCGGCCGAUCAGCUUGUUGGUGGGGUGAUGGCCUACCAAGGCGACGACGGGUAGCCGGCCUGAGAGGGUGACCGGCCACACUGGGACUGAGAUACGGCCCAGACUCCUACGGGAGGCAGCAGUGGGGAAUAUUGCACAAUGGGCGCAAGCCUGAUGCAGCGACGCCGCGUGAGGGAUGACGGCCUUCGGGUUGUAAACCUCUUUCAGCACCGACGAAGCGCAAGUGACGGUAGGUGCAGAAGAAGGACCGGCCAACUACGUGCCAGCCGCCGCCGUAAUAC
rnacentral:rRNA from 1 species